GCCCAGCAAGUUUAAAUACAACAAUAUAAGGAUAUAUCAUGAUUGAAGAGUAUGAAUAAUGAGCUGGCUAUAAUUCAUCAAUAUAAUUGAGAACUAGCAGGAACAAACUUUUGACUGAACAAGUUUUAAACAUGAACAAACAUUUCUGAACCAACUGGUAAUGAAGGUGAUCAGCCUUUCAUACCUGACUUAUACAUGCAAGAUGUACAGAGUACAAUUUUCAUGGCAAUCAGCAAUGAUU
rnacentral:lncRNA from 1 species